CUCCUUCUUUGUGUAAAGCUUGCAUAUUAUGAGAAAAAAUGCAUUAGAAUUACUCCAUAAAGUGUUAUUAUGCAUAAAAACAUUAUAAAUAACAGUAGGAAAACAUGAUGCAAAAUGGACGUAUCAGGCUCGUCACAAACCCUUCAUCCGAGUGAGCUGUAUAUCGUAUAUCGCACAUACCUUGAUCUGGCUGACCGUUUCUAUUGUGUUGGCUAGUCGCAAAUAGUUCAUUCAAGUGAACUUUAUGCCAUAUAUCGCACACACCUUGAUUUUGCUGACCGUUUCUGUUGUUCUGGCUCAUGGCAAACAGUUCGUAUGGAUCAACUGUAUGCCACGUAUCGCACACGCAGCUUUAAUCUGAAUCGUGCUUGAUGUCUCCGCCAUCGCACACAAUUCGUCUUAUUGAUGACAAUUUUAUUAGAACACAGUUUGUGAUUAAUGCAUCGCACACAGUUUGGUCGAAGGAUAUCUGAUACUAGUGUCGCGUUAGUAGCAUCCUGCUGUAGUGCACGGUUGUGCUUCUGGCGACCAUGGUCUCGUCGUCACUCAUCACUGGCGGCUACCGAUCGUUCCAAUGGACUCCUUGUUCUGCCCCAAGCUCGACAUGGUCAACAUCAAGUUUUGUUGUGUCCUAGACAUUUUUGGUCACAUAUUAGACCAGAAAAAAAAUAGUCUUUUCACGAGUUAGUUAACACUGUUUGACGGAAAAAAAUGGAUGGCAAUGUCAUAUAUGACACAAUAUUUUAGAUAGAGUGCCUAAUUGGGUAGAAAUAUUGUUUUAGCGCCAAAUGGGGAAGCAUAUUUUUAAACAGGGUCCAAUAAGGAAUCCUAUCUUAUAAGAAAUAAGAGUUCAUGCCGACCUUUGCAUAUCUAAGAUGUACACGCCCAACCCAACACAUAUGCGGUACAAUACAAAAGACAGUACAUCAAGCCAUAGAUUUAUGAGGGUGUGACUGUAUAUGUCUAUCUUGUAAUUGGCGUUUCUAUAAAGAUCGCAUGGCACUACCUACUCCGUCGUGCAAGCAAGUAAAACAGGACCAAAACAUAUCUCAAAUCAAAUAAAAAAACACAAAAGCAGGAACAUAACACACAAGAUCACAUAGGCGAAAAGAACCUUUUAGAGCUUUUGUCAAAGCCAUGUCGCCGCAAACGGAUUGUGUCAGUCCAUAACGAGGUGCAUGCAUACUCGAGGGCUCUUUCAUACGAGACGGCACGUACCCACGCAUGUCUCGUGUCUCACCCGUCGUCGUCGUCUUCUCCUCAUCAGAUUCACUACGACAUAUAUAUUAGCUACCUCCGCCAUCUCUCCACUCAGAGUCAGAAAUAAAGGCAGCACCGACCAAGCACAAGCUAGCUUCUUGCAUCUAUUCAUAAUGGACCGGAGCAACAUUGGAAGCCUUGGGUUGGUGGCGUUGGUGGCUGUGGUGUCGACCAGCAUCAUCCUUGUAUCCUACCACCUCCGCCGCCGCCUCCAGGAUGAUACCAAACUCAACAAGACCGCCGAGCAACAACGACAGAGCAAGAUGACAAUGAAGGAGGUGGGGUUCAUGGACGACGUUGCGGAGGAUCUCUCGUCGGACGAAGAGGAGUGCCCCCGUCGACUGGGUACGACUGCCAUUCGUGUCCCCAUCCAACCGUUGCUACGCAGGGUCCCUCGAUUCAACAAUUUGGCAUUCGAGUUUAAUUAAUUAAUUAAUUAGAUUGUAUUGCAGCAAGUCGGGUCACAAGAAAUAAAGCAGCAUUUUGCUUGCA